ensembl:lncRNA
AAAAUACAGAAGUAUAUGAAAGUGAUGGAAAAAUAAUAAAAAAAAAAGAAGUAGAAAAGGAAAACGAGAGCGAAAAAAAUGGGGAAAGUAAGCAGCAAGAAGAAAACGAAAAAGAGAAUGAAAAAGAUAAUGAAAAAGAAAAUGAAAAAAAGAAUGAAAAGGAGAAUGAAAAGGAGAAUGAAAAAGAAAAAAUUAAAAAACAAAAAGGCGAUACAGACUUGCUUCACAGUAGUGCAAAAAAAAAAAUUGAUAAAUAUAAUGACACUUUUUAUGGUGGUCAAGAAAGAGAAAUGCUAAAAGAUAGAGAAGAAACAGAAAGGUAUGAAAGGAAAAAUAAAAAAUAUGAAAAUGAAAAACAAUUCGAAAACGAAAAAAUGAAACGAAAAAACAGGUUUAGGGAAAAAGAAAAUGAUAGAGACAGAGGAAAAAAUAAGGAUAGAGAUAGAAUUAGGGAUGUAGAGUUAGAAAGAGAAAGAUGUCGAGACCUCGAUAGGGAAACAGAUCUUGAUAAAGAGUGGACUAAAAAAUUACAGAGAGAUCGAGUAAGAGCAACAUCAAAGGAAAUGGAAAGAGACAAAGAGAUAGUCCGAGAGAUAGAUAGGGUAAGAUAUAAAGAUUUAGAUAAAGAUAAAUAUAGAGAAAGGGAAAGAGAAAGGGAAAGAGAAAGAGAAAGAGAAAGGGAGAGAGAAAGAGAAAGAGAAAGAGAAAGGGAGAGAGAAAGAGAAAGAGAAAGGGAAAGAGAAAGGGAGAGAGAAAUAUAUAGACAAAGAGAUAGAGGUUUUAGUAGAGAUAUUAGCAGGGAAAUGGGUAGAGACAGAAGAAGAGAUUUCAAUAGGGAUAAUAGUAAUGACAUGAAUAGGGAAAUGAGUAGGGACAUGAAUAGGGAAAUUAGUAGAGAAAGAGAAAGAGAAAGAGGAAGGGAACGAGAUAUAGAACGAAAUAGAGAAGUAGAAAUAGAAAGACUAAGAGAAAGGGAUGGGGAAAGAGCGAAAGAUAAAGAAAGGGAAAGAGAAAAGGAAAGAGAAAGGGAAAGAGAAAGGGAAAGAGAAAGGGAAAGAGAAAGGGAAAGAGAAAGGGAAAGAGAAAGGGAAAGAGAUAGAGAUAGGGAUAGAGAUAGGGAUAGAGAUAGGGAUAGAGAUAGGGAUAGAGAUAGAGAACUAGGAUCAUAUAAAAGCACACCCAGUUCUUCCUAUGAAAAUAUAAAAAGGAAAAAUAAUAUGGUAAAUAUUAACGUAAAUAAAAAAAGGUCAUUUAUAUAUGAAAAAGAUAAAAACGAUAAUAUUAACAGAAUGAGUAGUAUGAAUAGCAUGUAUAGUGGGUAUAAUAACAAAGACAAAUUUUCAAAAGAAAAUUAUUAUGAGUAUGAAACUGUUGACAACUAUAAUAGAAAUAAAUAUAAUAAUCAUAAUAAUAUAGCUAAUGUUUGCACCACAGGAAAUGAUUCAAGUCCUCAAAAUCAUUAUUAUUUUAAAAAUAACAUAAAUGAUAAUGAGAAUGAAAACUGGGAAAAAAAAAUGUCAAAACUGAAAGAAAAAUUGAUACAAAAAAAUAUAAACAAAUGAAUUUGUCAGCAGUGGGUAGACAAACAGACAGGCAAAUAUAUACACAUAUAGAUAAAUAAAUAAAAAUAAU